rnacentral:lncRNA from 1 species
ACACAUUUAUGGAAACUAUAAAUAUAUAUAGGUAUAAAACAACUGCCCACUCACAAGUACGUCGUUGGGUCGUAGCCCCCGAGCCUAGCUUGGCCUCGAAAAUCCUCGGAAUAAGUUUCCCCUAUAUGUGAAAUAACUAAAUAUCAUUAAUUAACGUACAUAACGGAAACCUACAUAAAACCCCCAUAGUUUGCUCAAACCUAGGGUAUAAAUAUAUGAAAUCGAUCUACUCGACGACACGAACGCGUACGUACCAACCACGCGCCAGUCAGAGGCCGGACGUGCCCCCACGCGCCCCCGCGAGUACACUGUACUUGCCUUCUUCGCGAAAAUCUGCAGUUUUGCAGAUUUUUGGGUCAACUUCCAGAGCCUAUAACGAGCUCGAUUCUCAACCAAAUUCACUUCUACAAAAGCCAAAUUAAAGCUAGGAAUGUGAUCUACCGAUAAUUUACAAAAAGUUCAAAUCUAGUCCUUGUUGUUCGGAAAUUUGGCCUGAAAGUGGCCAAACGACCACGGUUACAAAAUUUCCAGAAACUGAAAUUUUCUUCCUAACUUCCAGAGUUGAUUUCUAACUCGUUACUUAACCAAACUCAGUGAUUCAAAAGCCAUUUUGAAGUUAGGAAUGUAGAGAACAAGUUUGUACCUAGAAGAAGUUCAGUUGUGGUCGAGGUUGACCAGAAAAAUGGUUUGAAAGUGACUAAAAGGCCACGGUUCUUGAACGAAAAACUUCGGGUUCUCCUUCUUCCUCGGCUCGCCGGACUGUUUUCGCCGGUUUCUGGGCAGUUUUUCAAAUUGCCAUAACUUUGUCAUUUCUUCACCAUUUUCAACGUACUUUAUAUAAAAAUGAAGAUAUUGACGAGACGAACACAUCUAUACCUGUCUCGACUCUUAACUCGCUGGGAAUUCACCGGAAAAAGCCUCGAAAGCCGUCGGACUCGC